rnacentral:rRNA from 1 species
GACGAACCGUGCGAACGUUGUUCGGAAUCACUGGGCUUAAAGGGUGCGUAGGCGGGCUGUCAAGUCCGGGGUGAAAGCCCUCCGCUCAACGGGGGAAUGGCCUUGGAUACUGACGGUCUUGAGGAAGGUAGGGGCAGAUGGAACUCUCGGUGGAGCGGUGAAAUGCGUAGAUAUCGGGAGGAACGCCGGUGGCGAAAGCGAUCUGCUGGAUCUUUUCUGACGCUGAGGCACGAAAGCCAGGGGAGCGAACGGG